GCCUGUGUGGCUCAGUUGGUUAAGCAUCUGACUUUGGCUCAGGCCAGGAUCUCACGGUUCGUGGGUUCGAGCCCUGCAUUGGGCU
rnacentral:tRNA from 1 species